rnacentral:rRNA from 1 species
UACAGAGGUCUCAAGCGUUGUUCGGAUUCAUUGGGCGUAAAGGGUGCGUAGGCGGCGCGGUAAGUCGGGUGUGAAAACUCGAGGCUCAACUUCGAGCUGUCGGUGGAAACUUUCUGGCUAGAGUCCGGAAGAGGAGAAUGGAAUUCCCGGUGUAGUGGUGAAAUGCGUAGAUAUCGGGAGGAACACCAGUGGCGAAGGCGACUACCUGGCCUGUUCUUGACGCUGAGGCGCGAAAGCUAGGGGAGCAAACGGG